rfam:Streptomyces glauciniger strain CGMCC 4.1858 genome assembly, contig: Ga0079895_111
CUUCACCGACCCCAGCCAGAGCGGCUGCUCGUCGCUGUGCUCCUGGCCGUAGGUGGCCAGCAGUGCCUGCGCCUC